rnacentral:rRNA from 1 species
GAUGAACGCUGGCGGCGUGCUUAACACAUGCAAGUCGAACGGAAAGGCCCAAGCUUGCUUGGGUACUCGAGUGGCGAACGGGUGAGUAACACGUGGGUGAUCUGCCCUGCACUUCGGGAUAAGCCUGGGAAACUGGGUCUAAUACCGGAUAGGACCACAUUUUGGAUGGUGUGGUGGAAAGUUUUUCGGUGUGGGGUGAGCUCGCGGCCUAUCAGCUUGUUGGUGGGGUAAUGGCCUACCAAGGCGUCGACGGGUAGCCGGCCUGAGAGGGUGUACGGCCACAUUGGGACUGAGAGACGGCCCAGACUCCUACGGGAGGCAGCAGUGGGGAAUAUUGCACAAUGGGCGCAAGCCUGAUGCAGCGACGCCGCGUGGGGGAUGACGGCCUUCGGGUUGUAAAAUCCUUUCGCUAGGGACGAAGCGUUAUGUGACGGUACCUGGAGAAGAAGCACCGGCUAACUACGUG